CCUACGGGUGGCAGCAGUAGGGGAUAUUGCACAAUGGGGGGAACCCUGAUGCAGCGACGCCGCGUGGGUGAAGGAGUGCUUCGGCAUGUAAAGCCCUAUCGGCAGGGAAGAAGCAAGACGGUACCUGACUAAGAAGCCUCGGCUAAAUACGUGCAAGCAGCCGCGGUAAUACGUAGGGGGCGAGCGUUAGCCGGAUUCACUGGGCGUAAAGGGUGCGUAGACGGCCAUGAAAGCCAGAGGGGAAAGCCCGGGGCCCAACCCCGGGGGUGCCCUGGGAACUGCAUGGCGGGAGUGCGGGAGGGGAAGGUGGAAUUGCAGGUGUAGCGGUGAAAUGCGCAGAUAUCAGGAGGAACACCGGCGGCGAAGGCGACCUGCUGGACCGCGACUGACGUUGAGGCUCGAAAGCGUGGGGAGCGAACAGGAUUAGAUACCCGAGUAGUC
rnacentral:rRNA from 1 species